AUAAUACUGUAUCAGUACUAUAUAUGUAACUUGUACAGUUUUGCUUUCAUUUUUGCUCACUAUUUGCAUAAAAAGCAAAUUAUAACAGACCAUAGAUGAUAAACCCUCAUCCAGUAUUCUCAUCAGUUUACUUCUCUAACAAGCAAGGAGGGGAAGGGGGGUGUACAUAACAGUUCAUUUUUCAUAAUUAUGACGACAGAGCAGAUGAUGAUGAGAGAUGCAAGUAUAAAACACCAUUCACAAGGCUAGAUGUUAACAUAGCACAGUAUUUCUGGCAAUAAAACGCUCCAACUGACCAACUGACCAUUUCACACGAACUUUCAUCGCUGGAUAAUUUUGCGAUUUUUUAUCCAAUUCAAUCAUAUAUAUGCCCAAAGUCGUCGCGGUAAGUUUCUCUUUACCAUAAAAUUUGACCGAAUAAGUUUCGAAACAAUGCGACGGCAAAAAAUGGAAAAACCCUGAUUUUCGUAAUAGAAUCUAUAGUCUUUUUGCCCUGUUGUCUCGCCAUCUUGGAUUUAUCAUGUAGGCCCCGCCUGUAUUAGGCAUGCGUUAGCAAUCUAGAUCUCCUAUGCCUAUGGUAGAA